CUAACAUGGUGGAAUGUCUCAGCAAAAUCACAUCAUCUAGUAAGUGCAGAUACUUUGGGUGUGAGUGA